AUACGGAGGGGGUUAGCGUUGUUCGGAAUUACUGGGCGUAAAGCGCACGUAGGCGGAUUGGAAAGUUGGGGGUGAAAUCCCAGGGCUCAACCCUGGAACUGCCUCCAAAACUAACAGUCUAGAGUUCGAGAGAGGUGAGUGGAAUUCCAAGUGUAGAGGUGAAAUUCGUAGAUAUUUGGAGGAACACCAGUGGCGAAGGCGGCUCACUGGCUCGAUACUGACGCUGAGGUGCGAAAGCGUGGGGAGCAAACGGGAUUAGAAACCCUAGUAGUCC
rnacentral:rRNA from 1 species